GGCGCCGUAGUUCCGCGCCGCGCCGCCCCGGCGGCCUCGCCGUUUCCCGGCGGCCUCUGCGGCGGCGGUUGCCAGGAGCGGGUUUGAACGGCGUCUCGUUGUAAUUGUAAGCAAAGGACAAAUAACUGGAUUUUGGGCAUCAAGCCAAUGUGAUGGGACCAAGCAAGCCAACUAUGUCUGAUGCUACAUUUGCAUUCGCUACUCAGCUAUACAGGAAUGAAGCAAAGGCUUUACAAACACAGCUCCAGUUUAAUAGAAAUGUUCCUGCACUUCCAGAGAACUUGGCUCUCAGAUUCUCUAACCCCCGUCCAAUUAUAAUAGAAAAACUGAAGGCAUCCAAUGAUCAGAGAAAUCUAGCUGGAAGUGAGGACCCCAGCAUAAGAAGCUCUGGCAUGUUUUCAGCGGUAUCUGAAGAGAGACUAAAAUUGGCUAUUCAGCUAGCCAAAAGGGACAUAAAGCGAAGACAUCUUGAAGAGCAAGUGAAACAACAAGUGUUUGGAGAUGCUGUCAAUAAACCAUUGUUGGCCCAGAAGCCACAACAGCAGAAGACUGAGGUAUUUGAAAGUCCAGAAAAUAAGAAUGCACUGAAGUCUCAAACUUGCUUGAAUUAUCAGCAGAAACUCAGUCAGCCUUCCAAAGUGGAGACUACCACCUCUGGCGCUAAAGUUUAUCUCUACACACCAAAUAAGGGAAAGCUAAUACCAGCUGUUUUGGACUCUCCACCCACCCAUGACACAGGACUGGACUCCAAGCCAAAUGUAAACAAAAAAGAAGAUAAAAAUGUGCAGGAAGUCCUACGGCUGCAAAAAGAAUUGAGAAGCUAUGUCCAGAAAAUUGAAGAACUGACUAAAAAAGGGAGAGAGAGAGAAGUUUUAGGUCCUGAUGAAGAGCAACGACUUUGCACUAGGAGACAGAAACAAGCUGCACGGUCAGCUCGGAUGCUGUAUGUACUCCAGCAACAGGUGAAAGAAAUUCAGGAUGAUUUAGAGAAACUGAGUCCUCAUAAAAUCAAACAUACCAAAAAGUCUCGAGCAGUAUCCAGAUUGGCAGCAGCACACAGAGGAGCUGUACGAGCCUUGCAGGCAUUUGCCAAUCAGUUUACAGAUCAAACAGAGCAGCAGAUUCCUACCCACUACAAGGCACUGGGCAGUCUCAUUCGACAACUGUCUCUCUGUUCUGCCAAACUAGAAUUGGAUUCUUCCAUUUCUGACAUUAUCAUAGACAUUUUGCUGCAAGUUGAGGAUCUGGAUUCACUGCUGGAAAAGAAACAAACACCCAAAAAAGUGAAGAAAUGUAUUUCAGCAUCUCAGGGCAAAUCUCCAAGGAACACUGAGACAUUUCCAGCCAGAAAGCAGCUUACAUCUCCAAAAGGAGAAAACAAACUUCUCGUCUUAAAGGGACAGCAUGGACAAGAACCUAGAAAACCUCCAGCUGCCAGGAGUCUCGCAACUGCAGUUCAGAAGGCAAACAGUUGUGCUCGUAUAUUGCACAAUAAAUUCCGAGAAGAAAAUGACCCACCUGCGCCAGAGAGAAAUGCCACUUUACAAGGAAACAUAGAUGCAUUGAUGAGAGCUAGAGCUGUAAAAAAAGAUCCCAACCUUGAAAGUGGCCCUUUGAAGAAGAAGGGCAUGUUAGUACCUGCAAAAUCACAGGGAGUGCUGAAAUCUCUAAAAUCAAGACAGGUACAGCCUCAAGGAAAGCAUGCCCGAUUUCAAGAGACAACUAUAGCUUUCCAGCUAAAAGAGAACAAGCGACUUGUUAAGGAGAGCAGAAUACCCUGCGUGCCUCCAAACCCUACACCUCCACCUGUUUCACCUAAGCGACUAGCAUGGCUUGAAGCAGAAACUUCAAGAGUCAAGGUUCUAAAUGACCUUCACAGAGGAGAAAUGAAAAAAAUACAAAAGUUAAGGUCACAAAGUGCUUCUCCAACCCAGCAUGCAGACAAAAUUGAGAAGGCAGUACGGGAGUGCUUAGAACCCCUGUUAGACAGGACACAGGUACAGGUUGCAGCAAAUGCAGAUAUUCUGAGUGAAAAGCUAUUGGAUGAUCUUUUGGAAGAUACUGCUCAGGAACUGUGGAGUAUGGAGCAGCAUGAGAGACUCCAGACUGAGGCUCUGCCUAUGGCUGACACACAUAGUCUGGAGUCAAUGUUGCAAAGAAUGGAAGAAAUUGAAAGAUACCAGGAGGCUGUACGCAGGAGAUUCACCCGGAUUGCGUACAGUGAUUCCGAGUUCUGGGGCCAGGAGGACAAAAUGGGUAAGAAGAGGAAAACAAAGCAGCAGAGGAGAAAUUGCAGACUGGAAAUGACAUUCUGCAGCCCUUGACUCGGAAUUCUCUGCAGAAAGAGUGCUGUGUGUGUCUUUCUGUGCCAAAGCAUAUGCUCCAGAGCAUCUUGGAUUAUAACAGCAGAUACAAGCAUCACUUAAAGCUUAUUUCACAUGAGGCAGUAGGCAGUUUCAAUCCAUGGCAGAUCGCUGAGAGUCUUGCAGAGCAACUAACAGAAGAAGCCUUAAGUGAUGUGGCAGCAGAACUGCAGGAUGUUUGUGAGGAUUAUGCAGAAGCUGUGUUCACAUCAGAGUUUUUGCAACCAGCUCAGUAAAUACUUUCAAAUCUGCCCCAUUAUCAAAUGCAACAUCAGCCUCAGUCCAACAGUGUUAUCAGAUGAUCUCAUUUUUCAUGUUUUUUUAAAAGUCUGUGAGAUUCUGUUCAGGAAAUGAAUUGAGUCCAUCAAGGAUUCAUCUCAGGUUUUUAUAAAACCAUUAUCAUAAUGUUUUCCUUUUCAGACUUUAUUAUACUGCAUUUAUCAGGACUUUUUUUUUUUUUUUUUUCCCCCCAAGUGUUUCAAUAGAAUGAAGUAAACUGUUACAGGUAAAGUUUAUAUAUUUUGAUAGGAACACCGAUCCAUUUGUAUACCUGUAUUACUUCAUUCAUUUUUAUGUGUGAUCUUCUGGGGAGGAGGACUGGGUUCAAGCAGUGUCACGGACUUAACUGUACUGUGCCUCAAUUUUCUGCUUUAAAAUGGAAAGAAUCUGACUUACCUACCUCAUAAGGGAGCUGUGGGCUUGAGUUUAUUCUUCUCAGUAAAAUCCAUUGUAGACAUCUGAUAGUUGUGUCAGAAGAAUGAAGCAUUAUUCAUAUUUCUAAAGCCAGAAUGGAACAGCCCAGAGUAAAAGGUGUUUGGUUUGCUGUUUAGGGCUUUCAGUGUCAUGUAAGAAAGAUGUCUGACCACCAUGCUUAGCAUAUAUACUAGGAUUAGUUCUUUUGGGGAUGUGGCUAUCCAAAGGAAGGAUUCUUAUGGCACAGCAUUAAGCAGAUGUAAAAACUUUAGCAUUGGCUGUAUUCAUAGGCCAACAGCCUGUUUGGACUCUUGCAAUCAACUUCUGAAUGUAGUACCUCUUCUGUUGGUUUCUGAACAUCACUAGCACAUUAUGCACAGACAAAUGAGACCUUUCAGUAGAAGCACAUCAUGGAGAUUUUCUUCCUUUUUUUCUUAAACUAGUCUCAAAUAUUAUAAUUUUAUCAGCAUUUAGUGAUACAACCCCACUUUCCUUACUCUAAGAAUCUCAUUGAAAUCAAGAACAAGAAAAUAAGUUAACAAUUGGCAUUUCUGCAAUAUUGAAUUAACUUGUUCGUUUCAAGUAAUCAAUGUACUAGUUUGGGUUAUGUCUGGAGCAAGCAAUGAAUAAUAAUUAUUUAUGGUAGUAUUCUAGGGAAAUGUGAAUUCAACCCUUGAGGUAACUGAAAAACCAAUAUGACAGUCUGCUUCUUUUGACAAUUUUUUCUCCAAUAGUGUUCAACCUAGAACAGAAUAAUUUUUAACUUUCUAAGAUUAUUUUUAUUGCCUCUAAUUAGAACAUACAUUUUAAAAAUAAUUUAGUUUUAACUGAAGCCUGGUUUACCUUUUUGUUUGUCUUGAAUUUGCCCCAAAUGUAAUGAUGUAAAUAUUACUGCUGAUGUGUGACUUCGCUGAUGUGUGAUUUCUGUGAUUUGAAACACUAUGGUUUUUAUGUCUAAGAUUACAGAGAUAAGCCUGUUUUUAAGUCCAAAAGACUAAACCCAUAGCGUCUCUAUGUAUGUAUAUAUAUGCUUGUGAAAGUAUUUUCAAGAUGUUUUAUUUUUUAAUAAACAAAACUUUCUUAGGACUGAACAUAGUUUUAAUUUAAGAUAACUUCCAUCUAAACCCAUUUGGAAUCGUCAGCACCCAACAUGUAAGGGAGACCCUAGCAACAUUAAAAGAGUCAGACUACCAUAUCCCUCAAAGUAAUGUGGUCAUCUGUCAAGGUAAACAUACUUUCUUUCUUAAAUCCCGUGGUGCUGUGAGUGAUAUCCUCUGACUGAUGAUGCCAAAGUGAACUUUUAUUCUGGAUGAGAAUUUUGUGGCAUUUGGGUGCCGCCUUGGAGCAGAAAUGGGUGGAGAGUGAAGGCUUUAGGUAGGAUCCCUGACUUCACACUCUUCAGUCCUUCCUAAGGAAUUUAAGUAAAGGAUUUUGUAAUGCAUUAUUUACAUAUGCAAGCUAGGCAAUUACAAAGUUGCUACCCUGAAAAAUUUCA